UACGUAGGGCGCAAGCGUUAUCCGGAAUUAUUGGGCGUAAAGAGCUCGUAGGCGGUUUGUCGCGUCUGCUGUGAAAACUCGGGGCUUAACUCCGGGCCUGCAGUGGGUACGGGCAGACUAGAGUGCGGUAGGGGAGACUGGAAUUCCUGGUGUAGCGGUGAAAUGCGCAGAUAUCAGGAGGAACACCGAUGGCGAAGGCAGGUCUCUGGGCAUUAACUGACGCUGAGGAGCGAAAGCAUGGGGAGCGAACAGG
rnacentral:rRNA from 1 species